rnacentral:misc_RNA from 1 species
UACGAACCGGACAAACGUUAUUCGGAAUCACUGGGCUUAAAGCGUGCGUAGGCGGCUUAGAAGGUGGGGUGUGAAAGCCCUCGGCUCAACCGAGGAAUUGCGCUCCAAACCGCUAAGCUUGAGGGAGAUAGAGGUGAGCGGAACUGAUGGUGGAGCGGUGAAAUGCGUUGAUAUCAUCAGGAACACCAGAGGCGAAGGCGGCUCACUGGGUCUCUUCUGACGCUGAGGCACGAAAGCUAGGGUAGCGAACGGG